GACGAACGCUGGCGGCGUGCUUAACACAUGCAAGUCGUACGGUAAGGCCCUUUCGGGGGUACACGAGCGGCGAACGGGUGAGUAACACGUGAGUAACCUGCCCACAACUUUGGGAUAACGCUAGGAAACUGGUGCUAAUACUGGAUAUGUGCUCCUGCUGCAUGGUGGGGGUUGGAAAGCUCCGGGGGUUGUGGAUGGACUCGCGGCCUAUCAGCGUGUUGGUGGGGUAGUGGCCUACCAAGGCGGCGACGGGUAGCCGGCCUGGGAGGGUGACCGGCCACAAUGGGGCUGAGAUACGGCCCAGACUCCUACGGGAAGCAGCAGUGGGGGAUAUUGCACAAUGGGCGCGAGCCAGAUGCAACAACGCCGCGUGCGGGAUGACCGCCUUCGGGUUGUAAACCGCUUUCAGCAGGGGCGAAGCUUUUUGUGACGGUACCUGCAGAAGAAGCACCGGCUAACUACGUG
rnacentral:rRNA from 1 species